AGCGCAUACGGUGGAUGCCUUGGCAGUCAGAGGCGAUGAAAGACGUGGUAGCCUGCGAAAAGCUUCGGGGAGUCGGCAAACAGACUGUGAUCCGGAGAUGUCUGAAUGGGGGAACCCAGCCAUCAUAAGAUGGUUAUCUUACACUGAAUACAUAGGUGUAAGAGGCGAACCAGGGGAACUGAAACAUCUAAGUACCCUGAGGAAAAGAAAUCAACCGAGAUUCCCUUAGUAGUGGCGAGCGAACGGGGACCAGCCCUUAAGUUGUAUUGAGAUUAGCGGAACGCUCUGGAAAGUGCGGCCAUAGUGGGUGAUAGCCCUGUACGCGAAAAUCCCUUUGCAAUGAAAUCGAGUAGGACGGGGCACGAGAAACCUUGUCUGAAUAUGGGGGGACCAUCCUCCAAGGCUAAAUACUACUGACUGACCGAUAGUGAACCAGUACCGUGAGGGAAAGGCGAAAAGAACCGCGGAGAGCGGAGUGAAAUAGAUCCCGAAACCGUAUGCGUACAAGCAGUGGGAGCCCACUUUGUUGGGUGACUGCGUACCUUUUGUAUAAUGGGUCAGCGACUUAUUUUCAGUGGCGAGCUUAACCGAAUAGGGGAGGCGUAGCGAAAGCGAGUCUUAAUAGGGCGUCUAGUCGCUGGGAAUAGACCCGAAACCGGGCGAUCUAUCCAUGGGCAGGUUGAAGGUUGGGUAACACUAACUGGAGGACCGAACCGACUACCGUUGAAAAGUUAGCGGAUGACCUGUGGAUCGGAGUGAAAGGCUAAUCAAGCUCGGAGAUAGCUGGUUCUCCUCGAAAGCUAUUUAGGUAGCGCCUCAUGUAUCACUGUAGGGGGUAGAGCACUGUUUCGGCUAGGGGGUCAUCCCGACUUACCAAACCGAUGCAAACUCCGAAUACCUACAAGUGCCGAGCAUGGGAGACACACGGCGGGUGCUAACGUCCGUCGUGAAAAGGGAAACAACCCAGACCGUCAGCUAAGGUCCCAAAGUCAUGGUUAAGUGGGAAACGAUGUGGGAAGGCUUAGACAGCUAGGAGGUUGGCUUAGAAGCAGCCACCCUUUAAAGAAAGCGUAAUAGCUCACUAGUCGAGUCGGCCUGCGCGGAAGAUGUAACGGGGCUCAAACCAUGCACCGAAGCUACGGGUAUCACCUUUGGUGAUGCGGUAGAGGAGCGUUCUGUAAGCCUGUGAAGGUGAGUUGAGAAGCUUGCUGGAGGUAUCAGAAGUGCGAAUGCUGACAUGAGUAACGACAAUGGGUGUGAAAAACACCCACGCCGAAAGACCAAGGUUUCCUGCGCAACGUUAAUCGACGCAGGGUUAGUCGGUCCCUAAGGCGAGGCUGAAAAGCGUAGUCGAUGGAAAACAGGUUAAUAUUCCUGUACUUCUGGUUAUUGCGAUGGAGGGACGGAGAAGGCUAGGCCAGCCUGGCGUUGGUAGUCCAGGUUUAAGGUGGUAGGCUGAGAUCUUAGGUAAAUCCGGGAUCUUAAGGCCGAGAGCUGAUGACGAGUGUUCUUUUAGAACAUGAAGUGGUUGAUGCCAUGCUUCCAAGAAAAGCUUCUAAGCUUCAGGUAACCAGGAACCGUACCCCAAACCGACACAGGUGGUUGGGUAGAGAAUACCAAGGCGCUUGAGAGAACUCGGGUGAAGGAACUAGGCAAAAUGGCACCGUAACUUCGGGAGAAGGUGCGCCGGUGAGGGUGAAGCAUUUACUGCGUAAGCCCACGCCGGUCGAAGAUACCAGGCCGCUGCGACUGUUUAUUAAAAACACAGCACUCUGCAAACACGAAAGUGGACGUAUAGGGUGUGACGCCUGCCCGGUGCCGGAAGGUUAAUUGAUGGGGUUAGCGCAAGCGAAGCUCUUGAUCGAAGCCCCGGUAAACGGCGGCCGUAACUAUAACGGUCCUAAGGUAGCGAAAUUCCUUGUCGGGUAAGUUCCGACCUGCACGAAUGGCGUAACGAUGGCGGCGCUGUCUCCACCCGAGACUCAGUGAAAUUGAAAUCGCUGUGAAGAUGCAGUGUAUCCGCGGCUAGACGGAAAGACCCCGUGAACCUUUACUAUAGCUUUGCACUGGACUUUGAAUUUGCUUGUGUAGGAUAGGUGGGAGGCUUUGAAGCGUGGACGCCAGUCUGCGUGGAGCCAACCUUGAAAUACCACCCUGGCAACUUUGAGGUUCUAACUCAGGUCCGUUAUCCGGAUCGAGGACAGUGUAUGGUGGGUAGUUUGACUGGGGCGGUCUCCUCCUAAAGAGUAACGGAGGAGUACGAAGGUGCGCUCAGACCGGUCGGAAAUCGGUCGUAGAGUAUAAAGGCAAAAGCGCGCUUGACUGCGAGACAGACACGUCGAGCAGGUACGAAAGUAGGUCUUAGUGAUCCGGUGGUUCUGUAUGGAAGGGCCAUCGCUCAACGGAUAAAAGGUACUCCGGGGAUAACAGGCUGAUACCGCCCAAGAGUUCAUAUCGACGGCGGUGUUUGGCACCUCGAUGUCGGCUCAUCACAUCCUGGGGCUGAAGCCGGUCCCAAGGGUAUGGCUGUUCGCCAUUUAAAGUGGUACGCGAGCUGGGUUUAGAACGUCGUGAGACAGUUCGGUCCCUAUCUGCCGUGGACGUUUGAGAUUUGAGAGGGGCUGCUCCUAGUACGAGAGGACCGGAGUGGACGAACCUCUGGUGUUCCGGUUGUCACGCCAGUGGCAUUGCCGGGUAGCUAUGUUCGGAAAAGAUAACCGCUGAAAGCAUCUAAGCGGGAAACUUGCCUCAAGAUGAGAUCUCACUGGAACCUUGA
rnacentral:rRNA from 1 species